rnacentral:rRNA from 1 species
UAGUCCUAGCAGUAAACGGUGCACACUUGCUGUAGGCGGUUCGACCCCGUCUGUGGCGGAGCUAACGUGUUAAGUGUGCCGCCUGGGGAGUACGGUCGCAAGAUUAAAACUCAAAGAAAUUGACGGGGGCCUGCACAAGCGGUGGAGUGUGUGGCUUAAUUCGAUGCAAUGCGAAGAACCUUACCUGGGCUUGACAUGCCGUCGUAGAUCUUGAAAGGGAUCGUCAGUUCGGCUGGACGUGCACAGGUGCUGCAUGGCUGUCGUCAGCUCGUGUCGUGAGAUGUUCGGUUAAGUCCGGCAACGAGCGCAACCCCUGUGAACUGUUGCUAACGCGUAAUGGCGAGGACUCUGUUCAGACUGCCCGGUUCAACCGGGAGGAAGGUGGGGACGACGUCAAGUCAGUAUGGCCCUUACGCCCAGGGCUGCACACGUACUACAAUGCCCAGUACAAUGAGAACCGAGACCGCGAGGUGGAGGAAAUCUAUAAAACUGGGCUCAGUUCGG